UUCACUUGAGCCUAUACAACAGCUGGCCUCUGAAGGGCUCCGUGCCGUGACUCUUGGCCUAUUAACAGUCCAAUCUCUGGCCUCCUUGAGGAACAGGGCUGCCUACAUGCAACACAGGGAAGGCUGGAGAACUCCUGGUCAAGAUGGAGAUCUGUCAAUGGAAUGAGGGAUCCGCCUGCAAACAUGCUCCUGUAGAUCUGAGACAUCGCUUUACAAGGCCAGAAGCGAGGGCUUUCAUCAGGAUAUGACCAUGGUUCUCUCUGUGGCUGCUUUUCUGGCAGAGCGAUUGGCUACGUUUCCCUCUUUUUCCUGCCUCUGCCCCUUGAUGAGCUCUUUGAUUUGAAGUUGUCCUUUGAGAGGCACAGUUCAUGUAGAUCUGCUUCAUGGAUGGUGGGACCAGGAGCCUCCAACCCCCCAUAUUUGCAGGAGUGAGACAGCUUCUGUGGCCCAACGUUUCAUCGGUUCGAAUCCUGGGUGUGGACACGGCACUGCUCAUCAAGCCACGCUGAGGCGGCGUCCCACAUGCCACGACUAGAAGGACCCCCAAAUCACAGUUCCUGCCUUAAAGAGUC
rnacentral:lncRNA from 1 species